UGCUGCAUGGCUGUCGUCAGCUCGUGUCGUGAGAUGGUUGGGUUAACGUCCCCGUAACGAGCGCCAACCCUUGUCCUUAGUUACCAGCACGUUAUGGUGGCACUCUAAGGAGACUGCCGGUGACAAACCGGAGGAAGGUGGGGAUGACGUCAAGUCAUCAUGGCCCUUACGGCCUGGGCUACACACGUGCUACAAUGGUCGGCACAAAGGGUUGCCAAGCCGCGAGGUGGAGCUAACUCCCAAUAAAACCGAUCGUAGUCCGGAUCGCAGUCUGCAACUCGACUGCGUGAAGUCGGAAUCGCUAGUAAUCGUGAAUCAGAAUGUCACGGUGAAUACGUUCCCGGGCCUU
rnacentral:rRNA from 1 species